AUUGAACGCUGGCGGCAGGCCUAACACAUGCAAGUCGAGCGGAGCGGCGGACGGGUGAGUAAUGCCUAGGACUCUGCCUGGUAGUGGGGGAUAACGUUCGGAAACGGGCGCUAAUACCGCUUACUAUCAGCUGAGCCUAGGUCGGAUUAGCUAGGUGGUGGGGUAAAGGCAUACCAAGGCGACGAUCCGUAACUGGUCUGAGAGGGAGAUCAGUCACACUGGAACUGAGACACGGUCCAGACUCCUACGGGAGGCAGCAGUGGGGAAUAUUGGACAAUGGGCGAAAGCCUGAUGCAGCCAUGCCGCGUGUGUGAAGAAGGUCUUCGGGUUGUAAAGUACUUUAAGUUGGGAGGCGUUACCAACAGAAGAAGCACCGGCUAACUUCGUGCCAGCAGCCGCGGUAAUUC
rnacentral:rRNA from 1 species